GACGAACGCUGGCGGCGUGCUUAACACAUGCAAGUCGAACGCUGAAGCUUGGUGCUUGCACUGGGUGGAUGAGUGGCGAACGGGUGAGUAAUACGUGAGUAACCUGCCCUUGACUCUGGGAUAAGCCUGGGAAACUGGGUCUAAUACUGGAUACGACAUGUCACCGCAUGGUGGUGUGUGGAAAGGGAUUUACUGGUUUUGGAUGGGCUCACGGCCUAUCAGCUUGUUGGUGGGGUAAUGGCUCACCAAGGCGACGACGGGUAGCCGGCCUGAGAGGGUGACCGGCCACACUGGGACUGAGACACGGCCCAGACUCCUACGGGAGGCAGCAGUGGGGAAUAUUGCACAAUGGGCGGAAGCCUGAUGCAGCGACGCCGCGUGAGGGAUGACGGCCUUCGGGUUGUAAACCUCUUUCAGCACGGAAGAAGCGAAAGUGACGGUACGUGCAGAAGAAGCGCCGGCUAACUACGUG
rnacentral:rRNA from 1 species